rnacentral:rRNA from 1 species
UACAGAGGGGGCGAGCGUUGUUCGGAAUUACUGGGCGUAAAGGGCGCGUAGGCGGCCUUCUAAGUCGAACGUGAAAUCCCCGGGCUCAACCCGGGAACUGCGUCCGAUACUGGGAGGCUUGAAUCCGGGAGAGGGAUGUGGAAUUCCAGGUGUAGCGGUGAAAUGCGUAGAUAUCUGGAGGAAUACCGGUGGCGAAGGCGGCAUCCUGGACCGACAUUGACGCUGAUGAGCGAAAGCCAGGGGAGCAAACGGG